UUAAUUACAUGUACUUUUGCAGGUUGUGCUUCAGGGAUUCCAAAACGGUGCACCAUCGCACUUCCUGACAGAGAAGAUUACUGUCUCAGGGGUCGACCAGACUCCAGGAUCCUUAACGAGCCCCAUGAGCGUGGCAUCCAGUACUGCCAGGAUGGUGGCACCCAACCAAGCACUGCGAGGCAUACCCCUGGCACCCCAGUACUUUAUGACACCAUCAGUCAGCAUGGCACCUCUGAUGACACCCACUGUGGCAGCACCCCAGGCCAUGGCACUCUCCUCCGGGGCAUACCUGCUGCCUUCAACACCACUGACAGGGUAUGAGAGCUUGAGCCCAUAUGCCCUCCAGGCAGCAUUCUACCAGCAAGCACUGAUGCCACAGCCAGGCAUCGCGGCACUGGAGCGGUCAUGUUACACUACCACGGGAGAAUAACAGUACAGUGACUCUGAACAACAUUAAUGUUUUCAAACAUUUUUAGUGCUUCUGACAUUUAAAACAUUUUUAGAAAUAAGUGAAACAGUCGUGUUUACAGUGAACAGAGGUCACUGUAUGUGUAUAGUACAGUGAAUGGAGGUCACUAUGUGUAUAGUGCAGUGAAUGUUGGUCACUGUACAUGUAUAGUGCAGUGAACAUAAGUCACUGUGCAUGUCUAGUGCAGUGAAUGCAGGUCACUGUAUACAUUUAGUACAGUGAAGCCAAUGUAAACAGUGACCUCCUAUCAGAACCCAUUGACAAGUGUAUGUCACUGCUACAACACAUCCAAAAACUGUUAAUACAACACAGUAGUAUGCCGUGUAUGGCAUUAAAAAGCAUGGGGCAAAACGUCUCGGUAAAACACCAUAAAUCGCACUGGCCAGCGCAUGUUUUGGCACUGCAUGGUGCCAGUGAUCAUGCGAAGGCACUCAGGGAUGAGUGCCCAGGAUUUUCUGUUUUCCAUACAGUGUAACAGACAGUGAGUGUAUGCUCAGUCCCACUUAUGCAGGUCCCAUUCAGGCAGGUCCCACUUUGGUAGGUUCUACUCUGGCAGGUCCCACCCUGGCAGGUCCUGCUUUGGCAGGUCCCACUUUGGUAGGUUCCACUCUGGCAGGUCCCACUUUGGUAGGUCCCACCCUGGCAGGUCCCACUCAUGCUGGUCCCACUUUGUCAGGUCCCAGUCAUGCAGGUUCCACUUUGUCAGGUCCCACUCAUGCAGGUUCCACUUAGGCAGGUCCCAUUCAGGUAGGUCCCACUCAGGUCCCACUGGCAGGUCCCAUUCAUGCUGCUGUAGUAAACAGUGAUGUAAAUCAUUAUAUUGGAAAUAUUGAAAAACUUUAAUACAGUCAGUUUGCUUAUUUAAAAAGCUCAUCUGUACACAAUCAGUCCUCUUAUAAAGCUCAUCUGUAUACAGUCAGUUCUCUUAUAAAGCUCAUCUAUAUACAGUCAGUUCUCUUAUAAAGCUCAUCUAUAUACAGUCAGUUUGCUUAUAAAGCUCAUCUAUAUACAGUCAGUUAUCUUAUAAAGUUCAUCUAUAUACAGUCACUUCUCUUAUAAAGCUCCUCUAUAUACAAUUUGUAAGAGAGCUGACUGUGUACAGAGGAGCUUUGUAGGAUAGCAUACUGUAUAUAAAGGAACUUUUUAAGAACUGACUGUAUAUAAUGUUGUAAAGUACUACAGUUUCUUGUAUCAAUUUAUAUUAUCAACAUUCAGGUAGUUUAUAUUAUCAUCAGCAUUCAGGUAGUUUAUCAUCAUCAUCAACAUUGGGAUUGAUAGAAAAGUGACUGUGAUAAUGUGUGAAAUGUUUUAGCAGGUGUUUCAUUUACAGCAAGACAACGAUGUAUGAUAUAAGAGCAUAUUGACGAAUACAGACAAUGGCAUGUAAUUGCAGACCAUCACGCAUGUAGUGUAGCUUUCCUGAGGGCAGGAGGAGGCAAUAGUGACAGUGUGCUACUUUAAAAGCACUUUAAUAUUUGAGCAAAAUGUGAGGAUGUCGGCAUCUCGUACAAUGAGUGUUGUCUCGUCUCCUGUAAGUACAGUGCUCCCUGAUUCUGCUCUAUGGUAUUGUUUCCUAAAAACCCCCUCAAGGAGGGAGAUGUCAAAGGGGAGGUUGGGACACUGACCUAGGAGACUGAACCUGCCCUUCCCUCACAUCCAGCCUUCUAGGCCACCCUUAUGGGUUUAACGCUCCCCUGAUUGUUGCUUCAGAGGCUGGGCUCUAGCACAGGAUCUACUAUCUACCCUCUCAAAUUUAAAUAAAACAUUCCUUUGUUAACGAGGCAUAAUUUUGAGGUAAAAGUCAACAGAAGUAAUUUCUGCAUGUUUCUGGCCAUUGUCUGAGUAUUUUGUGUUAGAGUUCACUGACUGGUGUGAAAGUUGUGCAGGUGGUGACUAGAGCAUGUUUCACCCACACUGGCUCGUGAAAGCCAUCGGUGGGCAAAACAUCACUGUUUGCAACUUCAGAUUAACCCCCUUGAGUUAAUCCCAAACCAUCGUAUUACAUGGAUUUAUUUUCUGCGACAACCAGAUAAUGAAUAACCCAUAUGGGGGGUCAUCUGGAGAGCAGCAGCUAAUCAAGUUUGAUCUGAGGAAGAGGAGGCGAGCUGCCCCUCCCCCCCAGUUCCUUCAAAGAAAGUUAGGUAACCAAGUUUGCCUUUAAAACUUAAGUGCAUAUUUAUUUGUUGAACCUUAUUAGUAAUAAUGAGGAGUUGUUAUCUUGUUAAGCUCCAAACCCAUAAGUGUAUACAAUACUGUUGUAUUUUAUACAAUCUGUGCUUUAUUAUUUAAUUAGAGCCUUCAGCUCUAUUAUUUAAGUAAUAGAGCUGAAGGUUUCACAUUUUUUGUACCUUUGUAGUUGAUGAGUGAGACAGGUGUAGCAAUUAGUACCUUUGUAGUUGAUGAUUGAGACACAGGUGUAGCAGUUACAACCUUUGUGAUUACCCACAAUGCACUACUGGCUUUCUUUUGUGCCUAAAAACAUUGUAUUAUGUGUAAACAACAUUAUCUGUGUACUGCAUAAGAUAUUAAAAUUAGAAUUUUAAUAUAUGCAUCAGGUGACAGUUUGCUGGUGACUUACAAGCCUGGAGAUACCACAAGUGGUGACUUACAAGCCUGGUGACACUACAAGUGGUGACUUACAAGCCUGGAGACACCACAAGUGGUGACUUACAAGCCUGGUGACACUACAAGUGGUGACUUACAAGCCUGGUGACACUACAAGUGGUGACUUACAAGCCUGGAGAUACCACAAGUGGUGACUUACAAGCCUGGUGACACCACAAGUGGUGACUUACAAACCUGGAGACACCACAAGUGGUGACUUACAAGCCUGGAGACACCACAAGUGGUGAGGUGGUCUGAGGUAAUCAGCCUCAGCUUUGAGGGACUGACUACCUUCCAUCAAGGGUGAGGGACUAACUACCUUCCAUCAAGGGUGAGGGACUGAUUACCUUCCAUCAAGGCUGAGGGACUGACUACCUUCCAUCAAGGGUGAGGGACUGACUACCUUCCAUCAAGGCUGAGGGACUGAUUACCUUCCAUCAAGGCUGAGGGACUGAUUACCUUCCAUCAAGGCUGAGAGACUGAUUACCUCAAUCCACUUCGUACUUUAUCUCUGUAUUCAAUUGAAGAAGCCUUAACACAGGCAGAAUGAGUGUCACAUGCUUGAAGCUCAUGAGGUGGUGUGUGUGUGUGUAUGUGUACCCCUACACACACACAUUCCCUGUGUGGUCCAUCUUGUCAGUGUGUCUGUUUUACUGUACUCAGGUAUCCAAUCCUUUGGUGGUUCUCUCUAGGUAAACUCCAGGUAAACAUAGUUGCAUGUCUCAUAUAUGGUGUACCAUACACUCCUGCCAUGACUCAUACUGACCCCCAAACAUGGUGUACCAUACACUCCUGCCAUGACUCAUACUGACCCCAAACAUGGUGUACCAUACACUCCUGCAUGACUCAUACUGACCCCCAAACAUGGUGUACCAUACACUCCUGCCAUGACUCAUACUGACCCCCAAACAUGGUGUACCAUACACUCCUGCCAUGACUCAUACUGACCCCCAAACAUGGUGUACCAUACACUCCUGCCAUGACUCAUACUGACCCCCAAACAUGGUGUACCAUACACUCCUGCCAUGACUCAUACUGACCCCCAAACAUGGUGUACCAUACACUCCUGCCAUGACUCAUACUGACUCCAGAACAGAAUACUUAUAACACUUUCCUUCACAUCUGUACCAUUCAAUACUUUCUUCAAUAACAAACUUAGAAUAUUUUCUGCCUUAUAAAUUUGCUGAAAGCAUUAGUGACUGUAAAAUUAGAGUCCUUAUUAAGAUUCACAAGUCAGAGAGCAAGUACUACCAUCCAUUGUAGACUCUACCUAGAUGACAACCAGCAGCUCCCAUUACCUGGAGAGAGUUCUGGGGGUCAAUGCCCCUGCAGCCCGGUCUGUGACCAGGCCUCAUGGUGAAUCAGGUCCUGAUCAACCAGGUUGUUACUGCUGGCUGCACACAAUCCAACGUACGAGCCACAGCCUGGCUGGUCAGGUACCGACUUUAGGUGCCUGUCCAGUGCCUGCUUGAAGACAGCCAGGGGUCUAUUGGUAAUCCCCCUUAUGUAUGCUGGGAGGCAUUUGAACAGUCUUGGGCCCCUGACACUUAUUGUGUUGUCUCUUAGCAUGCUAGUGACACCCCUGCUUUUCAUUGGGGGGGGGGAUGUUGCAUCGUACUAUUCUAUCUACAGCUGACACUGGAUUAGUGGUACUUAUAUCCAGACCUGUUGAACAAAGCCACUACCAGACAUCCAGGUUGUGGUGGACAUGUUGGACUUUGUGCAGCUAGCAUCAACAACCUGGUUGAUCAAGUCAUGCACCAGAAGGCCUGGUCUGGGACCAAACUGUGAGGGUGUUGAUCCAUGUAAGACUCUCCAGGUAGCUAGAAUAGUGACUGCAGAAAUAUACAGUGUGGGCAUGCGACAUGUAGACAUAAAAUCAUUAGUUUCAAACAAACGCAACUCUUCCACCAGGAAAUCAACCUUAGCUGUGUUGUGUUUUCAAUAAACACAAAGAAGCUGAUUUUUUUUUGGGGUCCCGAAACACGCUGAUCUUCAAGUCAAUGAAUAAGUUGAGUCAGCCUCUUGAUUAUUUAUGUAUACAAGCAGUAGCUACACUUGUGUCUACCACCAACACUCACACUCAGAUACAUGUUAGUGAAUUCUAUUGUAGCAUUUAGAGCAAUGUAAGAAUAAGUGUGACAGGGUCAUAAAAGGUCAGGAAUCAUUGAUGCCGAUCAAACUAGUCUAGCAGGUGGGGCCAGGAGCUGAGUCUCAGUCCCUCACAAACACACCCUGGUCAGUACAAUUCACCAGAUCAGCAUUUUACAGGGAAGAGGUAAAGCUGUAGGGGCUCCCAGCAUGAGAGGAACACACUUGUUACUAAUGAAGUUUAAAUCUAUGGAAACAGCUCUAAUCCCUGGGAUCAAGAGCCCUUCUCCAGCAUCAAGGCUCCACCCUAUAAAAAGGUGUAUUACCAAAGCAUAUAGAAGUGUAUACCAUCAGUAAUACGUUGUAUAGAGAUGCAUAAUAUUUUUGUAUUAAUACAAAGAGUGAAGAGUGAGAGACAUUUCUCACUAUAAUACACAAAUCCACAGUAUUUACAAAGGAUCUGACUAACAUAAGAUAGAAUUUGAUCCUCUACAACACAAUUCUGAUCCUAAAAUGGUGAUUCCUUUUCCCGUUUUGAUUCAACAAACACCGUAUAACAUGAUUACCACCAUAAUUAUCACCAUUUCUUUUUACUUGUUAAUUUUGUUUCAUAUAUAUAUAUAUACAUACAUACAUACAGUAGGGCCCUAUAUCCGUGGGGGAUACUGAGACCGUGGAUAGUAGCAAAUCCUAUAUAUAAGUCCUCUACGUACCUAUUAUAAAGUUCAAUUGAUAAAUUAUGCACAAUAAGUGGAGAAUUAUCACUUUUUCACUGAUGGGAAGCACUUCAGUGCUUCUCUUAGGCUUUAAAGAACUGCAAGUUUCUUUACUUUUGCACUUUGGGGCCAUUAUUACUAUACAAAAUUAAGAGGUAUUUUUUUGGCCAUAAACUGAAACUGCGGACACUGAAUUCAUGGAUGCAGGGGUUCUGCUGUAUAUUAUAUAAUAUACAUAUACAGGAGGUCUUCAAUUUACAGUGUCAGUUGUUUUAUAAUUUGUAAGUCACUCAUUUUUCAACUUAUACUCAAGUAAUCAUUGUUUUUCAAUUUACAAAGAAUUUUUUUUUUUUUAACAAUUUCAGUUUACAAACAAGUCUUCUUUUUUUUUUUCGUUUAAUUUACAAAAGUAUUGUUUGUACACCAAGUACAGCAGAGGUGAUGUUAUAUUUGACAUGCAUUUAUGCUGCACCUGGGUGCUCGUAAAACACCGUUUGGUUAACAAGUUCUCUGUUUGUAAGUGUCUUGUGAGGAUGUUUUUAAUUUACGGAGUUUUGUAAGUUGGUGACCUCUUGUAAAUGUUAAAGAAAAAAAGCACAUUGUAAACAGUACUGCUUGGAUUGUAAACACAAUGAAAAUUCUAUUUACAUGGCUGUAAAUCAUUUACAGAUUUUAAUUAAGGAAAUUAAUUAUUUACCUAGCUGUAAAUAAUUUACAGAAGAUUUUAAUUGAGGAAAUUAAUUUUAUUUACCUAACUGUAAAUAAUUUACAGAUUUUCAUUAAGAAAAUUAAUGAUUUAGUUAAUUAUAAAUUAAGAUAUUGGUUAAUUCUAAUUUUGUUAAUUAAGGUUGAAUUUUAAUUUCUGGAUACUGAUGAUCGUGGAUUAUCUGAGCUGCUCUUGGAUGAGGAUCCACCUCCAGAUUUUGGAUAAUAUGACCCCAAUGGAAAUAAGUCACUCUGACUUUCUUGGGUUAUCCCAGGUUCUCUACACACAUGUUUCUAUGUAACUGUGUACCUGAAUAAACUUAUCCAUUUUAUUUGUAUAAUCAAGUUGGGGCAAUGGGUCGGAAAGACAGCCAGAUAUUCACAAGCUGAGUAAUUCAGUGCUGGAUAAAUCCACCAAUUUUCCAUACGUUGGCUUAUCCUUCUGAGCAAAUGUUGGUAUGUAAAGUGACUGAGUCAGUAGAUUAUCAGCAAUGAAAAAAAUAUAACCCACAAUAAUAUUGUGGGUUAUUGUUGAGGUUGCAACAAUUCACAGCCCACAAUACCAAGGCUAUUCACAACCCACAAUACCAAGGCUGCAAUAAUUCACAACCCAUAAUACCAAGGCUCAUAUCAAAAAGAUCCGAACAUUAAAAAAAAAAAAAAAAAAAACCACAAUACAGCGAUCCCUCAAGUUACAAAAUUAACCAGUUGCAGGAGACGUAUCAUACCUCACAACUACCACAACUCAGACGCCAAAAUACUUUUAAGGUAAUCCGUUGCCAGACCCUGGAAGUGCAACUUUUACUGCAGCUUGGGCUGUAUGAUCCUUGUGGGUUUAGUGCUCAGUUUUGGACUAACAUUCUGACAGAUAUAACUUGCAGCCGCUCUGUCUCCCAUCAUCUGCUUCUCUUAUAUCCACAAUAAUAGUAGUCUUUUUCAUCUUUAUCAUAAUUUCUUUGCUUUUUUUUACUAGCUUAGAUUUGUCAUCCACUUGAAUAUUCUUUAUAAUAUCUUUUUUGUUUGAUAACAAUAGAGAUGGUUGAACAUGGAAGCCAUAGCCAUGCACCGUGUCCUCAUUCUGGCUCGGUUAUGUUUUUUCCCAAUUUUUUGUUUGAUCUUCAGAGAGAUUGGCUGUCUAGUGCUCACUUUAGGAGCCACGAUGAUGCAGUAACAAACAUAAUUAAAUCACAAAUGUUUAUGUAUCUCAAAUUUUUUCAUGGCAACUCACAAUUCUUUUAAGAGUGCAAAUCGUAACUUAAAAUUAAAGUAAUUGCAGUCUAUCAUAACUCAAGGGAACAUUAUACUUGACCAUAAAGUAGACAGCAACACCUCCAAAAAAAGCCAGACCAUUUAGUUUAAAAUCUUAAAAUUUGCCAAAAUUAAUCAAGUUUUCGACCACCAUACCCUUUAGAUGUAAUGUUCAAGAUACUGUGUUAAGAAUUUGGUUUAACAAUAAACAAUACAGAUCAACAUUUGUGUUUGAAGGAAAAGUUGUAUACUCUGCCCAUAUUGACGUAUGUAUUACUGAUGUAUGGCCAUAUUGCCAGGAUUAAUCUAUAAGGAAUAACAUUGUUAGAUGAUAAAUUAAUUAACCUUUAAGGAUCAGGUAAAAACAAAUCCAGUUAAUUUAACAAAAUAAAAAAGUUACAUGUUAAUUUUAGGGAGGAAAAAAAGUUACCAAACUUAUAUUUCAUCAUUUUUCUUGUGGGGUUAAAUUGACCUGCUUGAUUAUUAUUAUUUUUUUUAUAAUUAUAAAUCUUUACAAAAACUAACACAAUUAUUUAUAAACUGGGAAUUUAUAAAUUUUUUUUAAGGGGAAAAAAUACUCAUCAUUAGCAAAUCUGAUUCGAGCAAAUUAUUGAUGUGAUUAACAUUAAUGAAGGCACCAUCAAUGAUGUCAUUAAUGAAGGUGUCAUCAGCCAUGUCAUUGAUGAAAGCAUCAUCAAACAUGUCAAUAAUGAGGGCAUUGUCAACCAUUUCUCGUCUUUUUUUUUCCUCUUUUGGUAACAAUUUACAUUCUCAAUUAUUAUAUUCUCAUAAGUCGGAAUUUUUAAGAAACGGGAGAAAUUUACAUUUCCGUUCUGGUAAAUUGAUUUUCAUUUACAGUCUGGAUUCGAUAAAUUUUUUAUAUUUUCAUGCACCAGAAUUUCAACGCCAUGAAAAAUAUCGACUAUUUUUUUUUGUCUUCAUAAAAGCAAUAGAGGAUGUCAAAAUUUUAUUUAUUUUACUUUACAUACUGGUGGAAACUGAGUUAUAGAAUAAAUAGAAUAAAAUAAUAAUAGAAUUGCAGAAUUAUGUACUUUACUGAUGUAAAAUAAAGCAUUGUUUUGUAAAUCGUUUACGUAAAUAAAGUAAAGCAUUGUUUUGUAAAUCGUUUACGUAAAGUAAAGCAUUGUUUUGUAAAUCAUUUACACAAAUAAAGUCACUCUUAAUUA